rnacentral:rRNA from 1 species
GACCUGGUCGGGCGGUCCGCCUAACGGUGUGUACUGUCUGACUGGGUCUUACCUCUUGGUGAGCCGGCGUGCCCUUUAUUGCGGUGCGUCGGGGAACCAGGACUUUUACCUUGAAAAAAUUAGAGUGUUCAAAGCAGGCUUUUACGCUUGAAUACAUUAGCAUGGAAUAAUGGAAUAGGA